GCCGCUGGAAACCAUGAUGUUACUCGAGUAACACAAUCAUCAUUCAAUGCAUGCAACACCACUAGUCCCCUAUCCAGAACCACAAAUAGCCCUGCGAGUGUUACUCUUACAGCUUCUGGGCCACACUACUUCAUUUGCUCAUUUCCAGGCCACUGCCUCGGCGGUCAGAAAUUAGCCAUCAACGUUAGCGCCAGGGGAUCUUCUCCUGCUCCUCAACCUUCUUCUCCGGCCCCUCAGCCCAGCGGUAGUACUCCCUCUCCGGUUCCUGCACCAGCACGGACACCGACACCGGCACCAGCACCAGCACCAGAACCAGCAACAACACCUACGCCAGCACCAGCAUCAGCACCAACACCAACACCGAGAUCAGCACCAACACCAGCUCCCACAAGACAGCCAGCGACUCAUGUUGUUGGAGGUGCUCUAGGAUGGACUGUCCCUCCCAACGCUUCUGUGGGUUACCAGAAUUGGGCUCGCAACAACAACUUUUCGGUCGGAGACAUUCUAGGUAACUAACUACUGC
rnacentral:lncRNA from 1 species